rnacentral:rRNA from 1 species
AGGGCGCACGGUGGAUGCCUUGGCACUAGAAGCCGAUGAAGGACGUGACUAACGACGAAAUGCUUUGGGGAGCUGUAAGUGAGCAAUGAUCCAGAGAUGUCCGAAUGGGGGAACCCGGCAGGUAAUGCCUGUCACUCAUUACUGUUAAGGUAAUGUAGAGGAAGACGCAGUGAACUGAAACAUCUAAGUAGCUGCAGGAAGAGAAAGCAAAAGCGAUUGCCUUAGUAGCGGCGAGCGAAACGGCAAGAGGGCAAACCGAAGAGUUUACUCUUCGGGGUUGUAGGACUGCAACGUGGACUUAAAGAUUAUAGAAGAACUACCUGGGAAGGUAGGCCAAAGAGAGUAAUAGCCUCGUAUUCGAAAUAGUCUUUAUACCUAGCAGUAUCCUGAGUACGGCGAGACACGAGAAAUCUCGUCGGAAUCUGGGAGGACCAUCUCCCAACCCUAAAUACUCUCUAGUGACCGAUAGUGAACCAGUACCGUGAGGGAAAGGUGAAAAGCACCCCGGGAGGGGAGUGAAAUAGAACCUGAAACCGUGUGCCUACAACAAGUUCGAGCCCGUUAAUGGGUGAGAGCGUGCCUUUUGUAGAAUGAACCGGCGAGUUACGAUAUGAUGCGAGGUUAAGUUGAAGAGACGGAGCCGUAGGGAAACCGAGUCUUAAUAGGGCGCAUUAGUAUCAUGUCGUAGACCCGAAACCAUGUGACCUACCCAUGAGCAGGUUGAAGGUGAGGUAAAACUCACUGGAGGACCGAACCAGGGCACGUUGAAAAGUGCUUGGAUGACUUGUGGGUAGCGGAGAAAUUCCAAACGAACUUGGAGAUAGCUGGUUCUCUCCGAAAUAGCUUUAGGGCUAGCGUCGAUGUUAAGUCUCUUGGAGGUAGAGCACUGUUUGGGUGAGGGGUCCAUCCCGGAUUACCAAUCUCAGAUAAACUCCGAAUGCCAAUGAGAUAUAAUCGGCAGUCAGACUGCGAGUGCUAAGAUCCGUAGUCGAAAGGGAAACAGCCCAGACCACCAGCUAAGGUCCCAAAAUAUAUGUUAAGUGGAAAAGGAUGUGGGGUUGCACAGACAACUAGGAUGUUAGCUUGGAAGCAGCUAUUCAUUCAAAGAGUGCGUAAUAGCUCACUAGUCGAGUGACCCUGCGCCGAAAAUGUACCGGGGCUAAAACAUAUUACCGAAGCUGUGGAUACCUUUAUAGGUAUGGUAGGAGAGCGUUCUAUGUGCGAAGAAGGUGUACCGUGAGGAGUGCUGGAGCGCAUAGAAGUGAGAAUGCCGGUAUGAGUAGCGAAAGACAGGUGAGAAUCCUGUCCACCGUAAGACUAAGGUUUCCAGGGGAAGGCUCGUCCGCCCUGGGUUAGUCGGGACCUAAGGAGAGACCGAAAGGUGUAUCCGAUGGACAACAGGUUGAUAUUCCUGUACUAGAGUAUAUAGUGAUGGAGGGACGCAGUAGGCUAACUAAACCAGACGAUUGGAAGUGUCUGGCCAAGCAGUGAGGUGUGAUAUGAGUCAAAUGCUUAUAUCUUUAACAUUGAGCUGUGAUGGGGAGCGAAGUUUAGUAGCGAAGUUAGUGAUGUCACACUGCCGAGAAAAGCUUCUAGCGUUAAUUAUACUCUACCCGUACCGCAAACCGACACAGGUAGUCGAGGCGAGUAGCCUCAGGUGAGCGAGAGAACUCUCGUUAAGGAACUCGGCAAAAUGGCCCCGUAACUUCGGGAGAAGGGGCGCUGACUGAUGGUCAGCCGCAGUGAAUAGGCCCAAGCAACUGUUUAUCAAAAACACAGCUCUCUGCUAAAUCGUAAGAUGAUGUAUAGGGGGUGACGCCUGCCCGGUGCUGGAAGGUUAAGAGGAGUGCUUAGCGUAAGCGAAGGCAUGAAUUGAAGCCCCAGUAAACGGCGGCCGUAACUAUAACGGUCCUAAGGUAGCGAAAUUCCUUGUCGGGUAAGUUCCGACCCGCACGAAAGGCGUAAUGAUUUGGGCACUGUCUCAACGAGAGACUCGGUGAAAUUUUAGUACCUGUGAAGAUGCAGGUUACCCGCGACAGGACGGAAAGACCCCAUGGAGCUUUACUGCAGUUUGAUAUUGAGUAUCUGUACCACAUGUACAGGAUAGGUAGGAGCCUAUGACCUCGGGACGCCAGUUUCGAGUGAGGCGUUGUUGGGAUACUA